rnacentral:rRNA from 1 species
GACAGAGGUUGCAAACGUUGUUCGGAAUCACUGGGCAUAAAGCGCGCGUAGGCGGCUUUGCAAGUCGGGUGUGAAAUCCCCAGGCUUAACCUGGGAACUGCAUUCGAGACUGCAUUGCUAGAGUAUGGGAGAGGGAAGUGGAAUUUCCGGUGUAGCGGUGAAAUGCGUAGAUAUCGGAAGGAACAUCAGUGGCGAAAGCGACUUCCUGGACCAAUACUGACGCUCAUGUGCGAAAGCGUGGGGAGCAAACAGG